CCCCGUCUAGCUCAGUCGGUAGAGCGCAAGGCUCUUAACCUUGUGGUCCUGGGUUCAAGUCCCAGGGUGGGCG
rfam:Ipomoea nil DNA, scaffold: scaffold3056, cultivar: Tokyo-kokei standard.